GAUGAACGCUGGCGGCGUGCCUAAUACAUGCAAGUCGAGCGAACGGACGAGAAGCUUGCUUCUCUGAUGUUAGCGGCGGACGGGCGAGUAAGACGUGGAUAACCUACCUAUAAGACUGGGAUAACUUCGGGAAACCGGAGCUACUACCGGAUAAUAUUUUGUACCGCUUGGUUCAAAAGUGAAAGACGGUCUGGCUGUCACUUAUAGAUGGAUCCGCGCUGCAUUAGCUAGUUGGUAAGGUAACGGCUUACCAAGGCAACGAUGCAUAGCCGACCUGAGAGGGUGAUCGGCCACACUGGAACUGAGACACGGUCCAGACUCCUACGGGAGGCAGCAGUGGGGAAUCUUCCGCAAAGGGCGAAAGCCUGACGGAGCAACGCCGCGUGAGUGAUGAAGGUCUUCGGGUCGUAAAACUCUGUUAUUAGGGAAGAACAUAUGUGUAAGUAACUGUGCACAUCUUGACGGUACCUAAACAGAAAGCCACGGCUAACUACGUG
rnacentral:rRNA from 1 species